rnacentral:rRNA from 1 species
CCUACGGGAGGCAGCAGUGGGGAAUAUUGGGCAAUGGAGGAAACUCUGACCCAGCAAUGCCGCGUGAAUGAAGAAGGUCUUCGGUAUGUAAAGCUCUAUCAGCAGGGAAGAAACCCACCCUCCGGGGUGGCUGACGGUACCUGACUAAGAAGCCCCGGCUAACUACGUGCCAGCAGCCGCGGUAAUACGUAGGGGGCAAGCGUUAUCCGGCUUUACUGGGGGUAAAGGGAGCGUAGGUGGCAAGGCAAGACAGAUGUGAAAACCCGGGGCCCAACCCCGGGAGUGCAUUUGAAACUGUCUGGCUAGAGUGCAGGAGAGGUAAGUGGAAUUCGUGGUGUAGCGGUGAAAUGCAUAGAUAUGAGGAAGAACACCAGUGGCGAAGGCGGCUUACUGGACUGUAACUGACGCUGAGGCUCGAAAGCGUGGGGAGCGAACAGGAUUAGAUACCCUUGUAGUC